UCUAAAUUGAAAACUACGUUCAAACCUAUGAUUGCGUUGGAUAAAAACCGCAAUUUUUAUACGUGUGCAUGUAAAACAAAUUUCGUUGUAGAAGGGUCUAAAUACUGCACAAACAACAUUUUCCAAAAGACCAAAAAAGUGAAAAAGUAUAUUUAAACAAAACGCAUUUGACUAACAGGUCGAACAACUGAUGUUCUUUAACCCUGC
rnacentral:lncRNA from 1 species